AACGAACGCUGGCGGCAUGCCUAACACAUGCAAGUCGAACGAGAUCUUCGGGUCUAGUGGCGCACGGGUGCGUAACGCGUGGGAAUCUGCCCUUUGGUUCGGAAUAACAGUUGGAAACGACUGCUAAUACCGGAUGAUGACGAAAGUCCAACGGUUUGUCGCCAGAGGAUGAGCCCGCGUAGGAUUAGCUAGUUGGUGUGGUAAAGGCGCACCAAGGCGACGAUCCUUAGCUGGUCUGGGAGGAUGAUCAGCCACACUGGGACUGAGACACGGCCCAGACUCCUACGGGAGGCAGCAGUGGGGAAUAUUGGACAAUGGGCGAAAGCCUGAUCCAGCAAUGCCGCGUGAGUGAUGAAGGCCUUAGGGUUGUAAAGCUCUUUUACCCGGGAUGAUAAUGACAGUACCGGGAGAAUAAGCUCCGGCUAACUCCGUGCCAGCCGCCGCGGUAACAC
rnacentral:rRNA from 1 species